AACGAACGCUGGCGGCAUGCCUAACACAUGCAAGUCGAACGAGACCUUCGGGUCUAGUGGCGCACGGGUGCGUAACGCGUGGGAACCUGCCCUUAGGUUCGGAAUAACUCCCCGAAAGGGGUGCUAAUACCGGAUCAUGUCUUCGGACCAAAGAUUUAUCGCCUUUGGAUGGGCCCGCGUUGGAUUAGCUAGUUGGUAGGGUAAAAGCCUACCAAGGCGACGAUCCAUAGCUGGUCUGAGAGGAUGAUCAGCCACACUGAGACUGAGACACGGCCCAGACUCCUACGGGAGGCAGCAGUGGGGAAUAUUGGACAAUGGGCGAAAGCCUGAUCCAGCAAUGCCGCGUGAGUGAUGAAGGCCUUAGGGUUGUAAAGCUCUUUUACCCGGGAUGAUAAUGACAGUACCGGGAGAAUAAGCUCCGGCUAACUCCGUG
rnacentral:rRNA from 1 species